rnacentral:rRNA from 1 species
UACGGAGGGGGCGAGCGUUGUCCGAAGUUACUGGGCGUAAAGCGCGCGUAGGCGGGUCGAAAAGUCCGCUGUGAAAGCCCGAGGCUUAACCUCGGCGGGUCGGUGGAUACUGUCGGUCUUGAAGGUGCUAGGGGGAGAUGGAAUUACCGGUGUAGCGGUGAAAUGCGUAGAUAUCGGUAGGAACACCAGUGGCGAAGGCGGUCUCCUGGGGCAUUCUUGACGCUGAGGCGCGAAAGCUGGGGGAGCGAACGGG